rnacentral:rRNA from 1 species
CAGCAGUCGCCGCGGUAAUACGUAGGUGGCAAGCGUUGUCCGGAAUGAUUGGGCGUAAAGGGCGCGCAGGCGGCUGUGUAAGUCUGUCUAGAAAGUGCGGGGCUAAACCCCGUGAGAGGAUGGAAACUGGACAGCUGAGAGUGUCGGAGAGGAAAGCGGAAUUCCUAGUGUAGCGGUGAAAUGCGUAGAUAUUAGGAGGAACACCGGUGGCGAAAGCGGCUUUCUGGACGACAACUGACGCUGAGGCGCGAAAGCCAGGGGAGCAAACGGGAUUAGAUACCCCUGUAGUCCCUGUCUCUUAUAC